rnacentral:rRNA from 1 species
GGACGAACGCUGGCGGCACGCUUAACACAUGCAAGUCGAACGAAGAAAUUUCACCGUAGCUUGCUACACCGAGAUUUCUUAGUGGCGGACGGGUGAGUAACACGUGAGCAAUCUGCCUUUCAGAGGGGGAUACCAGUUGGAAACGACUGUUAAUACCGCAUAACAUAAUUAACUCGCAUGAAUUAAUUAUCAAAGAUUUAUCGCUGAAAGAUGAGCUCGCGUCUGAUUAGCUAGUUGGUGGGGUAGAAGCCUACCAAGGCGACGAUCAGUAGCCGGCCUGAGAGGGUGAACGGCCACAUUGGGACUGAGACACGGCCCAAACUCCUACGGGAGGCAGCAGUGGGGAAUAUUGCACAAUGGAGGAAACUCUGAUGCAGCGACGCCGCGUGAGGGAAGAAGGUAUUCGUAUUGUAAACCUCUGUCUUCGGGGACGAUAAUGACGGUACCCGAGGAGGAAGCACCGGCUAACUACGUG